rnacentral:lncRNA from 1 species
CGGGUCUGAUGGGCAAUGGGGGAGGGCGCGGGCCGUCGCGGGCUCGCGGGCAGUGCCCAGGCACGGACGGAUGGAGGUCCUGAUCUCCGGUUCUAGCUCUGGGACCCUCGGUCCUUUGUAAGCAAGUAAUGUGGCCAGAUCCGUGCUUGUGAGAGCGGGUAAAACACACAUGACCCGUUACCUUAUGCCGGCCUCUAGAUUAACUUGAACACAGAUUCUCUUACUGAUCAUCUCAACUUGGGGAAAUCAACUUUGUGGGAGUUCCACAGGUACCAAGACUUCCAUGCAUUUGACCUCUCAGGAGCCACUCGAGUUCUUGAAUGGGUUGGUGAAAAAGGAGUCUUUGUUGCUGGUUAUGAAAGUUUGAAAAAAAAUGAGAUUCUUCAUUUGAUUCUACCUCUAAGACUCUCUGUAAAGGAAAACCAGGGCUUAUACCCAGAGAGGGACUUCAAAGUACGCCACGGAGGAUUCUCAGACAGAGCUGUCUUUGACCUAAAGCACGUGCCAGAUACCAGGUUGCUGGUGACCAGUGGGCUUCCAGGGUGUUACAUACAAGUGUGGCAAAUUAGAGAAGACAACGAUGUCAUUGAAGCUGUCAGUACCAUUGAUGUGCAGGACAAAGAGGAGAGUCUCUGGCCUCGGGUCUCUAUCUUCUGCUCUGCGGCGCCUGGGAUCCUCCAUGGGGCGCGGCUCAGCGGCCUGAGGACUGUGGAUGUAGAAUCCCGGAAGAUCACAUACAGCUCAG